CAAGUCGGGAAUGAAGGAAGGCGCAUGGAGCAGACUGCGGAGUGACUGUUAAUCCUGCUAAACCUGUCCUAGGGUCUAGGGAGUGUUUCCUAAUUUGGAUGUACUUCCGCGAGUGACUUGCCCAAAUCAUCCAGAUUCCAUUUUAGUAGAGGAUUACAGAGCUGGUGAUAUGAUUUGUUCUGAGUGUGGGCUAGUAGUAGGUAAAUAUUUUGCUUACUGCCUUUUAGGCAGUAAAAAAGGCUGGAAGUCAGCUGAUACACCAGAAGGGGCUGAAGAAAGCAGAAUCGAAGUGGAAUACAGAGCACUGAAUUUUCUUGAUGUAGCAAGGUGGUGAGCUGAAUUUCAGAGGGCGCUAAGAAUGAGUCUAGUGGCAUGUACAGCUGUGUAGCAGCUCAGAUAGGUAGGAAUACCUUUCCAGUCUAAGACUUUCCUUAAACUUCUGUAUGGUUUUAUUAAAUGUUGUGUACUAGUGUGCAGGUGUUGGAGCAGCGAGGAGUUUAUUUUUAGCAUUUGCUGUUGCUAGUAUCCUGUAAGUUGAGAAGAUGCUUAAGUACUUCUGACUUGGAUCCGGUAGAGGGCAAUUACGUCUAUUUUAGUAUCUCCAUAUGGUGAAAAGUCUUUUCAUAUCUGGGUGUAUGUUCAUGGUUACUUCUUUCUGUGACCGGGUCAUAGACGUAGGGUCGGAGUGGAGAACUUUCAGCAAUGACAAAGCAACAAAAGAUCCAUCUCGAGUUGGGGAUACCCAGAAUCCUUUGUUGAGCGAUGGUGACUUGAGUACAAUGAUUGGCAAGGGCACAGGUGCAGCAAGUUUUGAUGAAUUUGGGAAUUCGAAAUACCAAAAUCGCAGAACUAUGAGCAGCUCUGAUCGUGCAAUGAUGAAUGCUUUUAAAGAAAUUACGAACAUGGCAGACAGAAUCAACCUCCCUAGAAAUAUAGUUGAUCGAACAAAUAAUUUAUUCAAGCAAGUGUAUGAGCAAAAGAGCCUGAAGGGAAGGAGUAAUGAUGCUAUUGCUUCUGCUUGUCUCUACAUAGCCUGUAGGCAAGAGGGUGUCCCAAGAACAUUUAAAGAAAUAUGCGCAGUGUCCAGGAUUUCAAAGAAGGAAAUAGGCCGGUGUUUUAAACUCAUUUUGAAAGCUCUUGAAACCAGCGUUGAUCUGAUUACAACCGGAGACUUCAUGUCAAGAUUCUGCUCCAAUCUGGGUCUUCCCAAACAAGUACAAAUGGCAGCAACGCAUAUUGCCCGUAAAGCUGUGGAAUUAGAUUUGGUGCCUGGGAGAAGCCCUAUCUCUGUAGCAGCUGCAGCUAUUUACAUGGCAUCACAAGCUUCUGCAGAGAAAAGGACACAAAAAGAAAUUGGUGAUAUUGCCGGUGUGGCUGACGUUACGAUUAGACAAUCGUACAGGCUGAUCUAUCCUCGAGCUCCAGACCUCUUCCCAGCAGACUUCAAGUUUGAUACCCCAGUAGACAAACUACCACAGCUGUGAAAUUCCAGAGGGUUACUUUUAAUUUCUAUAAAAAAAAAAAACCCCAAACCUCUGACAACAGAAAACUUUUGAUUUUUUUGCCUAUAAUAAAGGAUGUACAAAGUGUUAAUAUAGAUCUUCAUGUUGUGGAACUGGAGGAUAUGGAGAUGGAGCAUAACUGCUGGAACGCAGCAUACAUUCCAAGGGCGUUCUGCAGGAGCAGUUGAGGCGCUGAGCGGUGAGUGAGUGCAGUUGAAGUUGUUGCAUGCAGCAGGAGCUGUCUGGACUGAAAUGGGAAUGCAGCUGGGCAGAGCUCUGGAGUGCAGCAGACAGGCAGGGAGGGACCGUCCCGGCGUGACCCUGCCUCUUCCCGCGAUGCCGCAAGCGCUUCCCGCGCCUCCCGUCCCGCCGAGAGGGUGUAGUGACUGCGCAGCCCAAAGAGGUAGAACCAGGAACGUGCUUGAAGGGCCGUGUAUUCUGAAAACCAGUUACUGCUGCUCCCAGGAGACUACGGUUAAUGUGAAGCAUUCCGGGGGGGGAAAG